rnacentral:rRNA from 1 species
GAUGAACGCUGGCGGCGUGCCUAAUACAUGCAAGUCGAACGGACACUCGGGGCUUGCUCCGUGUGUUAGUGGCGGACGGCUGAGUAACGCGUAGGUGACCUGCCCCGAAGUGGGGAAUAACUGCCCGAAAGGGUGGCUAAUACCGCAUGUGGUGGAGCGUUCAUUCGCUCCAGUAAAGCCGCAAGGCGCUUCGGGAGGGGCCUGCGUCCGAUUAGCUCGUUGGUGGGGUAACGGCUCACCAAGGCGACGAUCGGUAGGUGGUCUGAGAGGACGAUCACCCAGACUGGGACUGAGACACGGCCCAGACUCCUACGGGUGGCAG